GACGAACGCUGGCGGCGUGCUUAACACAUGCAAGUCGAACGGAAAGGCCCUGCUUUUGUGGGGUGCUCGAGUGGCGAACGGGUGAGUAACACGUGAGUAACCUGCCCUUGACUUUGGGAUAACUUCAGGAAACUGGGGCUAAUACCGGAUAGGAGCUCCUGCUGCAUGGUGGGGGUUGGAAAGUUUCGGCGGUUGGGGAUGGACUCGCGGCUUAUCAGCUUGUUGGUGGGGUAGUGGCUUACCAAGGCUUUGACGGGUAGCCGGCCUGAGAGGGUGACCGGCAACAUUGGGACUGAUAUACGGCCCAGACUCCUCCGGGAGGCAGCAGUGGGGAAUAUUGCACAAUGGGCGGAAGCCUGAUGCAGCAACGCCGCGUGCGGGAUGACGGCCUUCGGGUUGUAAACCGCUUUCGCCUGUGACGAAGCGUGAGUGACGGUAAUGGGUAAAGAAGCACCGGCUAACUACGUG
rnacentral:rRNA from 1 species